UGAGUAGAUUGGUUUUGAAUGCAAAUCAAAACCGAAAGACGAACACCAACCCUAUGUAAAACAGGGCGUAUUAUAGAACUAUUAUUUUUAUUCUUAUUCACUGCGUAUCCAACUCACUACCCACCAUACUCCCUCGCCAAUCAGAGCCGUUGAUCGAUUUUAUGAUCAGAAAACACAAUGUCAAAUGCUGUUCAACAACAGAGACUUGUUUUGGAAAGUCAUAGGUACAACGUUUUAUGAUUGAAGUUUUCUAUUUUAUUAGAUGGUUAGAGUUGUCUUAAAGUUAAUUAUUUUAAUUAAUAUUAUCUAAUUAUUUUA